rnacentral:lncRNA from 1 species
AUGCAGAGCGGGCCGGGGGCGUGGGGCGGAGCAAGAUGCUCGGGGCUCCCCGCACGCGCCCUUGGCUCUGCUUGUUACCCCAGGGCACGUCCUGGCCUGGCACCCGGGCCGCUGGCAGAGCCCGUGCAGCUUCACCGACGACGGGGAGCCGUGCCCGCUCGCCCCAGCCCCUUUGCCCCGCUGCGAUGCUGCCCUGCCCUCGGCCCGAGCGGAGCACGAGCCCCGUGUGCGCGCCCCCGCCCCCGCCCGCAGCACAGCAUGGCCCUGCUCCUUCCCCGGAGAGAGCCCCUGCGCUCCCGGCUUCAUGUAAAUAAAUGUACAGGUCUGACAGCAAGCCCUGGGGGUGCUGGCACUGCUUUCCAGGGCCCCUGGCCCCUUGGGGACCCGCUCGGGCCUCGCCGCCCUGGGGGGAGGCAGAGGAAGUGGGGGCAGUCGCUGGGCUUGAAGGAGCGCGUCGGCUUGUCCAAACUCAGCCGCCGUGAGCUCUGCCAGGGCUCCUCUUGCCCCAGCAGCUCCGCGCAGCAGAGCUCAGAGUUUGCUCACGGGAUGUUUCCAGCUGAGGCCCGGACCCGGGAGGUCUGCUGGGCAGGGCUCGGAGCCACGGCCUCCUCUGUGCUGCCCCGUCCCAGCAUCGCCCGCACCUCGCCCCACUGCUCGGGGAAGCCCGUGGGAGACCGGCCCGCACGGCUCGCCAGCACCCACCUCGGUGCUCCCCGGCAGGCUUUGGGGCCCUCGCACGUGAGCUCGGGCAGGCCCGGCAGGAGCCCCUGCCUUCUGGGGAUCUCAGUCCAGCCGGGGCGGCAGCGUCUGCAGCCCGGACUUCCCUGUGCCCUGAGCCGGCUCCCUGGGCGGCAGGUGGGGCUGGGGGGCUGCACGGCCCCCAGCAGCUUGCAGCCUGUGCCUGCCCGACCCUCGCUCAGCAAAGCGUCCUCCAGCCCAGCCCGGGGCCAGUCUCGCUGCCAGCCCCAGAGCUGCAUGGUAGCCCUCCUGCCUCCCGAGGGCGAGACCCCCGCCAUCCCUCCUGCCCGCGUGUGA